rnacentral:lncRNA from 1 species
CGCUAGGUGCCCCAUCACCAUUUGAGGUCAAUGAGCUCCCUUGGGUGCCCAUCAACAUCAUUGGGUGCCCACCAACACCUUUGGGUGCAGAUCAACAAUGUUGGGUGCCCCAUCACCAUUUCAGGCCAAUGAGCUCCCUUGGGUGCCCAUCAACACCAUUGGGUGCCCAUCAAUACCGCAGAGUACCCAACAACACCAUUAAGUGCCCAUCAUCUCAGUUGGAUUCCAUCAACACCAUUGGGUGCCCAUCAACACCACUGGGUGCCCAUCACCUCCACUGGGUGCCCAUCACAAUUUGACACCAAUGACCUCUGACGGGUGCCCAUCAACACUGUUGGGUGUCCUUCAACACCGUUGGGUGCCCGUCUCCUCCAUCGGGUGCCCAACACCUCUGUUGGGUGCCCAUCACCUGCACUGGGUGCCCAUGACCACUACUGGGUGCCCAUCAACACUACUGGGUGCCUACCACCUCCGUUGGGUGCCCAUCACCUCCAUUGGGUGCCCAUCAACACCAUUGGGUGCCCAUCACCUCCAAAGAGCACCCAUCACCUCCAUUGGGUGCCCACCACCAUUUGAUACCAACGACCUCCACUGGUUGCUGCUGGGUGCCCAUCAACACCAUUGGGUGCCUACCACCUCCACAGGGUGCCCAACAUCUUUGUUGGGUGCCCUUCAACACCGUUGGGUGCCCAUCACCUCCACUGGGUGCCCAUCAACACCACUGGGUGCCCACCAGCACCGUUGGGUGCCCAUCACCUCCAAAGAGCACCCAUCAACCCCAUUGGGUGCCAAUCACCUCCGUUGGGUGCCCAACACCUCUGCUGGGUGCCCUUCAACACCGUUGGAUGCCCACGACCACUAUUGGGUGCCCACCAGCACCAUUGGGUGCCCUUCAACACCGUUGAGUGCCCAUCAUCUUCAUUGGGUGCCCAACACCUCUGUUGGGUGCCCACCACCUCCGUUGGGUGUCCAUCACCUCCAAAGAGCACCCAUCACCCCCAUUGGGUGCUCACCACCAUUUGCUACCAACGACCCCCGUUGGUUGCCCAUCAAUGCUGUUGGUUGCCCACACACACCAUUGGGAGCCCUUCAACACCGUUGGGUGCCCAACACCUCCACUGGGUGCCCAUGACCACUACUGGGUGC